GACGAACGCUGGCGGCGUGCCUAAUACAUGCAAGUAGAACGCUGAAGGAAGGAGCUUGCUCUUUCUGGAUGAGUUGCGAACGGGUGAGUAACGCGUAGGUAACCUGCCUGGUAGCGGGGGAUAACUAUUGGAAACGAUAGCUAAUACCGCAUAAAAUUGAUUAUUGCAUGAUAGUCAAUUAAAAGGUGCAACUGCACCACUACCAGAUGGACCUGCGUUGUAUUAGCUAGUUGGUGGGGUAACGGCUCACCAAGGCGACGAUACAUAGCCGACCUGAGAGGGUGAUCGGCCACACUGGGACUGAGACACGGCCCAGACUCCUACGGGAGGCAGCAGUAGGGAAUCUUCGGCAAUGGACGGAAGUCUGACCGAGCAACGCCGCGUGAGUGAAGAAGGUUUUCGGAUCGUGAAGCUCUGUUGUAAGAGAAGAACGAGUGUGAGAGUGGAAAGUUCACACUGUGACGGUAUCUUACCAGAAAGGGACGGCUAACUACGUG
rnacentral:rRNA from 1 species